rnacentral:sRNA from 1 species
CUUCCUCGAUCUGUUGCGGCGCGAUGAAGUGGAUGUGGCUGUCGAUGCCGCCGGCCGUGACGAUAUUGCCUUCGCAGCUGAUGAUCUCGGUGCCGGGGCCGAUGAUGACGUCGACGCCGGGCUGCGUGUCGGGGUUGCCGGCCUUGCCGAUGGCGGCGAUGCGCCCGUCCUUCAAACCGAUAUCGGCCUUGACGAUGCCCCAGUGGUCGAUGAUGAGCGCAUUGGUCAGCACGGUAUCCAUCGCCCCCUCGGCGCGUGUGCGCUGCGAUUGCGCCAUGCCGUCACGUAUG